ACCGGGGUAGUGCGGCUGCCUGAGGAGAGGGCCCGGGCGAGGGGAAGGCCGCGGCGGAGCCCUCUGCGCUGAGGUGAAGGCGGCCCCGCGGGGCGAGGGGAGGCUCGUCCUGCCCCGCACGGACCCGAUCGUCCCCCCCUGCGGUGGGGGCGAACCUCAGUGCUCGUUAGGACGAGUGAGAAUAUCGCAAAGAAUCGUGGAAUUACAGUUUUAGGCAGGGUUUUGUCUGCAGGCUGCGUGCCGGCCCGAACGGCCUCUGUGUCCCCGGCGUCUCGCAGCAUGGAGCGGGUUAACGGCGCCCGGGAAAAACGGUGGGAGAUCGGUGAAACCUGACAGCGAUGUCUGUUUUAAAAUAGUUGUUUGAGAGCGUUAGACCCCUUCGAAGAGAAACACCGUAAAAUCAUAACCAACAGUCCGUGAUACGAUCUUUCUAAAUAAAAGCUAAGGUUUUGAACCAUUAAACAGUCUAUUUGAGAAAACAGGAUUGUACAGAAGAGUAAACUGAGAAAUGGGAACAGAUUUUUUUUUCCUUUUAAUAAUUGCAAGCAAUAUCUCAAACUCAGCAAUCUUAAACCAUUGAGCUAUGUAGUAUGAACACGCUAAUUAAUCAAUUACUCCCCAACAACGUACCCUGUUUAUUUACUGUAAUGUACUACAUGUGUGUAGAACCAGUAAUUAUUAAUCAUCGUCAGAAACAAAUUUGACUCAAGUUCACCUUCCUAUAAUUAACAGAGCAUACAAUUGUCUUUAAUAUCUUUCUUUAUUAGUGGUAGCAAUGGCUGGGGAGAGCAGAGGAGCUGGACUCGGAUGCUGUGGGUCACUGGUGAGGGGCUGAACUAAGGUGUUACACCUGAGGAGUGAUAUUCCUGGUCAAAACUACAUCCCAUGAAGCUAUGGCCUAUAAAGAGGACACAUGACAAUGACUUUGAUUUUUAAAAGUAUUUCUUUCAAGACAUUUUGCAGUUAAAUUUGUAUUGAUCUUACAGUGCAAGAAGAGGGGAAAAUCCUUCAGACUCUGGCCUUGCACUAGUUAAGGGAACGUAGGUGCAUCUCUACUUGCACAAUGUGUGCAAAAAUGUGCUCAGAGUUGUCAUUCCAAAUGUGGAAACUUGAGCUGAAUGUUUUUUGGUUGGGCUUUGCUUUUUUUUUUUUCUCCCCUCAAGACUUUAAACCCAAAUAUCUAAAAAGGGAGACCCCGUUCCCAGUUUGAACUCCAGGUAAUGUUCUCUCAGGAGAAGGACCUGAAAUGGGUCGCAGAUGCCCUCAGAGCAUGUCAGUUCUUGCAAAACCAAGAUCCGUGUGGUGCUGUCAGCCAAACACACGACUUCAUUUGCAGCUCUGGCCCAUCAGAAGCACAAAACUUUUAUUUUCAUUGUCUGCAUCUUCUGCAGUUGAUACCAAACCCCACUGCCCCCCAUCUCCUUCUCCAGGCAUCCAGCCACGGCUGGGGAACCAGCCUGGGCUUUUGCUGUCCUUACCUCCAGAAUUCUGGGGCCAUUUCUGAUGAGCAGCCACACCUGGGCCACCUUUUAUCUUUCCAUUCCCUCUUGCUCUGCCUUCUUCCCAGUUCUAGAUCAGGUUCUGAAGAGUGCUAAAAUUCAAGCUACAGUUCAAGAGCUCUAUUAUUCCUUCAGUGCGUUGGAACAAAUAAUCCAGUUGUGUGAGCAGCAGAAUCGCAACUGUAUUUCUAACUUUUUUUUUUAAGAUUAUAAUUUAUUUUUAUAUCUGCUGUAUUGUUAAAAAAAAUACAUUUUUGGCACCAGCAGCAUGGGAGAUGAAUGUGAGAGACUGCAAAGCAGUUUCAAUCCUUCCAUCAGCUCAAGGCUCAGAAGUGUUAAUAGUAAUUAAAAACUUUUUUUCCCUCAAAAUACAUUUCACACUUUGCACGCGCUGAGAAAUCUCUCUCACCACGGGAACUUUCAGAUCACUUGUUCCCUGAAAAAAACAGGUACAGUUUUCUUUUGUCAGAAGAGAACAAAGACAUAAGGAGGUGCAGGUUUCAUUUACUCCUAGGACAGGGCAGUCGAUUAAGUGCCAGUGAACUAAUGAGCCUCUCAGACCUUAUGUUGCUCUGGCUUGGAUCAAGGCUUCCUUUUCCUUAACCCUUAAGAAACGAGCUGACUCCUGGGUUGAAUCUGCCCUGCUCUUCUGUGCCUCCUCCUCCUCCUCCAGGAUGUUGCUUCUACUGACCAAACUGGGACAGGAUACAGCUUGGAUGGGAAGGAAGGAAGGGAUCGACGUUUACACAAACAUUCUCAGUCUGCAAUUGCUGUGACCCAAGGAGAAGAGAAAAAGGCUAACACAAAGUUUAUUUUUGUGAAAGAAGGGAUAUUUUGAACCAUGAAACCAUUCUGAACUCAGAACCCACAGCAACGUGCCAUCUCAGUUAAUAUUACUUCACACACCGACGCAGAAGGAAAACCC